rnacentral:rRNA from 1 species
UACGUAGGGUGCGAGCGUUAAUCGGAAUUACUGGGCGUAAAGCGUGCGCAGGCGGCGCGUUAAGACAGGUGUGAAAGCCCCGAGCUUAACUUGGGAGUUGCGCUUGUGACUGGCGUGCUGGAGUGUGGCAGAGGGAGGUGGAAUUCCACGUGUAGCAGUGAAAUGCGUAGAGAUGUGGAGGAACACCGAUGGCGAAGGCAGCCUCCUGGGCCAGCACUGACGCUCAUGCACGAAAGCGUGGGGAGCAAACAGG